rnacentral:tRNA from 1 species
GGGGUUGUAGCUCAGUGGUAGAGCACUUACCUCACAUGUAGGAGGUACUGGGUUCGAUCCUCAGCAACACAU